UUAAUUGAAGCCAAAAUAGAGGCAUUUCAUUGUUAAUGAAAUAAUUGAUUUAUAAUCCAAUUAAA
rnacentral:tRNA from 1 species